AAUGAACGCUAGCAACGAAUCUAACACAUGCAAGUCAAAUGUGUCAACACAUGGCGACCGAGUGAGUAAAACAUAGGAAUCUACUUGAGAUAUGGGGAUAAUAAAUAAUACCCAAUAAAAAAUAUAAAGAUUAAAUCGAUCUCAAAUGAGCCGAUGUAGGAUUAGGUAGUUGGUGAAGUAAAAGACCACCAAGCCCAAGAUCCUUAGCUGGUCUUAACGGACGAUCAGCCACGACGGAACUGAAAGAAGGACCGUCCUCAAAUUAAAAGAGGCAGCAGUGGAGAAUAUUGGACAAUGGGCGAAAGCCUGAUCCAGUGACGUUGCGUGAAAUUUUCUUUUCUCAAGGAGGAUAAUGACAGUAAUUGAGGAAUAAGUCCUGGCUAACCUCGUGCCAGCAGCCGCGGUAACAC
rnacentral:rRNA from 1 species